UCAAAGUAUUAAGAGCGUAGGGUGGAUGCCUUGGUGCCAAAGGGCGAAGAAGGGCGUGGCAAGACUGCGAUAAGCCUCGGUGAGCUGUCGAGCAAGCUUAGCCGAGGAUUCCCGAAUAGGAUAACCCAUCCGUCGUUUAGACGGAUACCCCUGCUCCGGUAAUCGGAGCCGGGGAGACAACGGGGGGAACUGAAACAUCUAAGUAUCCCCAGGCAAAGAGAAAGGCAAUUACUCCCCUAGUAGUGGCGAUCGAACGGGGAACAGCCUAAACUGUCCGGGCUUAGUGGCUUCGAGGCCUAUGUCUGGAGAGGGUUGUAAGGCGGAGUUGCUUCGACUCGAAUCGAGGCGAGGAGUUACAAAACGAUGCUUAGCUGAAGGUCCAUGGAAAGGGCCACCACAGAAGGUGAGAGUCCUGUAGGCGAAAAGCUAAGUCUCCUGCUCCUGUCCUUAAGUACCACGGGACACGGGAAAUCCUGUGGGAAUCCGCCCCGACCACGGGGCAAGGCUAAAUACCUUUGGCGACCGAUAGUGGACUAGUACCGUGAGGGAAAGGUGAAAAGAACCCCGGGAGGGGAGUGAAAUAGAUCCUGAAACCCUAUGCUUACAAGCAGUCAGAGCGCUGAACCGGGGGCAACCCUGGUCUAGUGUAAUGGCGUGCCUAUUGAAGAAUGAUCCGGCGACUUGCUCUUUGUCGCAAGGUUAAGGUCUACACGACCGGAGCCACAGCGAAAGCGAGUCUGAAUAGGGCGAUUAGUGGCAAGGAGCAAACCCGAAACCGAGUGAGCUAACCAUGGCCAGGAUGAAGCCUCGAUAAAUCGAGGUGGAGGUCUGAACCCGUGAACGUUGCAAAGUUCUGGGAUGAGCUGUGGUUAGAGGUAAAAUGCCAACCGAACUCGGAGAUAGCUGGUUCUCCCCGAAAGGCAUUUAGGUGCCGCCUUAGAACAAGUCUCAAGGGGGUAGGGCUCUGGAUGGGCUAGGGGGCUAAAAGCUUACCAAACUCAACCAAACCUCAAAUACCUUGAGUUAAUUUCUAGGAGUGAGACUACGGUGGAUAAGCUCCGUGGUCAAAAGGGAAAAAGCCCAGACCUCCAGCUAAGGUCCCUAAGAGCGGGCUAAGUGGUAAAGGAAGUGAAGUUGCAAUGACAGCCAGGAGGUUGGCUUAGAAGCAGCCAUCCUUUGAAGAGUGCGUAACAGCUUACUGGUCAAGGAACUUCGCGCCGACAAUCCAACGGGGCUUAAGCCCGUCACCGAAGCUGAGGAUCCUAUCCCUGAUUCGUCAGAGGUAGGGUGGUAGGGGAGCGUUCCUCUCGCAGAGAAGCUCAGAUGUAAGUCUGGGUGGAGCGUGGGGAAGAGCGAAUGCCGGAAUGAGUAGCGCAAGGCAUGUGAGAAACAUGCCCACCGAAUGCCUGAGGUUUCCUACGAAAGGUUAAUCCGCGUAGGGUUAGUCGAACCUAAGCCGUCCCCCAGAUUCCUGGGGAUAGGCGAUGGACAACGGGUUAAUAUUCCCGUACCGAUUUGGCGAAGGCAAAGGGGGGACACAGGUAGGCAACGUCCGCAUACCCAAUGGACAUGGUGUGUCGCCCGUUCUAAGGUAGAAGUCCUUGAAAGAGGGCUUCGUUAAUCUGAGGGAUGGGUGGAAAUGGAGUGGAAACACGAAAUGACGGACGCAGGCCCAGACUGUCUAGAAAAUCCCCAUUGCUGUUGAAGUCAGAUCGCCCGUACCGCAAACCGACUCUGGUAGGCUAGCUUGCAAUAUGCUAAGGUGUUCGAGAGAACCCUCGUUAAGGAACUCGGCAAUCUAACCCCGUAACUUCGGGAUAAGGGGCCCCCUGAGAAUAUCAGGGGCGCAGGAAAAGGCCCGGGUGGCUGUUUAACAAAAACACAGGUCUCUGCUAAAGCGUGAGCUGAGGUAUAGGGGCCGACACUUGCCCAGUGCCGGAAGGUUAAAGGGAGAGGUUAUUCCUUGGAGCAAUCCUUGGGAGAAGCUUUGAACUGAAGCCCCGGUGAACGGCGGCCGUAACUAUAACGGUCCUAAGGUAGCGAAAUCCCUUGUCGGGUAAGUUCCGACCCGCACGAAAAGUGUAACAACCUGGGCGCUGUCUCAACGAGGGGCUCGGCGAAAUUGAAAUACCCGUGAAGAUGCGGGUUUCCCGCGCCAGGACAAAAAGACCCCGUGGAGCUUUACUAUAACCUGGUCUGGAAAUGAGAUUAUGCU
rnacentral:rRNA from 1 species